rnacentral:rRNA from 1 species
UACGUAGGGGGCGAGCGUUGUUCGGAAUUACUGGGCGUAAAGAGUGUGUAGGCGGUGCUCUAAGUCUGUUGUGAAAUCUCCCGGCUUAACCGGGAGGGUGCGGCGGAAACUGGAGUGCUUGAGGGUGGGAGAGGUAAGCGGAAUUCCUGGUGUAGCGGUGAAAUGCGUAGAUAUCAGGAGGAACACCUGUGGUGUAGACAGCUUACUGGACCACUUCUGACGCUGAGACACGAAAGCGUGGGUAGCAAACAGG